GAUAACUCGACGGAUCGCACGGCCUUUGUGCCGGCGACGCAUCAUUCAAAUUUCUGCCCUAUCAACUUUCGAUAUUAGGAUAGUGGCCUACUAUGGUGGUGACGGGUGACGGAGAAUUAGGGUUCGAUUCCGAAGAGGGAGCUUGAGAAACGGCUACCACAUCCAAGGAAGGCAGCAGGCGCGCAAAUUACGUAAUCCUGACACGGGGAGGUAGUGACAAUAAAUAACAAUACCGGGCUCUAUGAGUCUGGUAAUUGGAAUGAGUA
rnacentral:ncRNA from 1 species